UUUUUUUUUUUUUUUUUUUUUUUUAAGAAAUACAAUUUUCUGACUUCCAGGCCUUAAUGAUGAGCUGAGUAAGAAAUUAAAAAAAGAAAAUUCUAAAAGGGAAAUUGAUGAUUUCAUAAACAGUUAAACAAAAAGGAUUGGUUACAUUGAACUCUGUGAACUAGUGAAAAUGGUUAUAAUUUUAUGGUUUCUAUUUAAAAUAAUACUGGCAUUUAAUCUGUGUUUUCCAGGUAUAAAGAAAUUCUCCCCAACAAGCAAUUUGGUAAAUUAUACCUUUGUAAGCAGAACUGAAACAUUUCUCUCUUCUCUACCUGAUUUCUUCAGAGAAUGGAAACUCUCAGGUUCCCAGAAGCUUUAUCAGAUAAUUAGGAAGGCCACCUUUUAUGUAGCCUGUAAAACCUCAAGGUAUCUGGGUUUUUAAAAGGGAAGGAAUUCACUGAGAUCUUUAAGAUAAAAAUCUUUAAGACAAACCCUUGGCAUGACUUUCCUAGCCCUGAGGUGCCUUUUAAAACUUAGUCUAAGAUUCCUCAUAAAGUUCUAACAAAGCCAAUUAAAAAAAAAAAAUCUAUGUGAUCAAUUUUAUUCAUGUAAAUCAUCCGGCCAAAAUUGUUGACGCCAGACUUAAUUGGCAAAUAAAUUAGUCUUGGUUUGGCUAAUAUUUGAUAAAAAUGAGAGUAAUUUUAGAAGGAAAGAGAUGUUUCAAUGAAAACUUGCUAAAUCUGUUAAUCUCAUUCUUUUAAUUGUGGUCAGUAUCACUAAGACUUACUUCCUAGAUAGUUCUUUGCUAUUAUGUUAUAUUGCUGCAAAGUUUAAUUGAGCUUCUAAAAGAACAUUCUAAGCUUGUUGCUAAAGUUUAUCUCAGUCAUCUAUUUUUGGAUAAAGAUCAGAUGCUUCAAGACCUGCAACAAGGGGACUAUGAGUACUAAAAAGGACAUAAUAUAAAAGGACUAUUUCCAAGCUUGUAGAGGAAGACCCUGAUAACUUAUUAUGGAACCAGGAGGUGGUAAAACAAUUUAGAGAUUUAGGAAAGGUGCUGACAUGUGCUUCUCUUCUGGCUCUACCAUUCUUUUGAGAAACAUUUUCAUUUAUCUGUAAGCAUGGGCUGGGGGACAGCAUCACACAUAAACAUGGGGGAAGCCACCAGCUGGUGGCUUUCCUUUCCUGCCACCUGGACCCUGUCACCAGAGGAUGGCUAAGUACCUCUAGUCAAUAGCCACCACUGCCCUAUUAACUGAAGGAAACAGAAAACUCACCUUUGGAAGAAGCCUGUCUCUGAGUAUAAAAAUAGGAAAUGGGGACACAAAUGCCUGGUCGAAAUGGAUAAAAUAUUCUGUGGACACACGACACAAAGGCAGCUGUUACACUUGUGCCACAGGGAGAGCAGAGGCCCAAGUAGUUCCCUAUCCUCUGGGAUGCUCAUCAGACCCAUGGGGUCUUAAAUGUGUGAUGGCCCUCUUUUAGGGCAAAAUGGCUUGAAAUAAUGAGUCCAAUUGGACUUUGUCACUGCGAUUCCCUGAGGACAAAAGUUCUGCGGGUCAGCCCCUGAAAACUGUUCAGUAGCCAAAUGAAAUCGUCAGCUUCUCCUCAUGUCUAAAAUAACAACAGACAAAGGCUACUUUCUUAGGCAACCUGACCAGGUAGAGUGAAAGCCAGUUCUAUAUCACCCCCACAAUAAAUCCCAGUUCCAAGUGACCCAGGCAGGUGUCUGGUGGUACUGUGGGAGUCCACUAAUGGACAUCCUUCUGGAAAAUCAAAGUGACACCCGUACUUUGGUGCAAUUGGCCAUCCCUUUCACGCUGACAUUUAGGCCCCAAUCUCAAACUCAGCCAAUUCUGAGGAAAUGAGACAUCACCCCCACAUGGGGUGGGGGGUCCUUUGACCCCCCCAGUUCUAUAUUGAAUCAAUAGGUGUUCCAAACAAAUUUAAGGCAAGAAAUCAGGUAGCUGCCAGGUUUGAAGCUGCUCUCUUUUGGUGGUCAACCAUAAACAAAAAUGUUGAUUGGAUAAACUACAUCUAUUACAAUCAACAAAGAUUCAUUAAUUACACUAGAGAUGCCAUUAAAGAAAUAGCUAAACAGCUAGGGCCAACUAGUCAAACGGCAUGGGAAAAUAGCCUUGCUUUAGACAUGAUGCUGGCAGAAAAGGGUGGAGUCUGUGUAAUAAUUGGUGUCCAGUGCUGGACAUUCAUUCUCAACAACACUGCCCCAGACAGCACCAUCACCAAGGCCCUGUGUGGACUAACGACCUUAGCAGAUGAGCUUUCAUAGAAUUCUGGUAUUAAUGACCCCUUCUCAGACCUUAUAGAAAAUUGUUUAAAAAAAAAAAAUGGAAGGGACUAAUAGCUUCAAUCUUUACCCCUCAAAUUGCUGUAGUUAGUGUACGUGUCUUAGUUGCAUGUUGUAUAAUUUCUUGUGCCAGGGGACUUUUUCAAAAAUUAAUAGAAACUGCCCUAACAAAGCAACUGGGACUCCUUCCCCACCAAGCCAAUAUACUCCUGAUGGACACAAUAGAGCCUGAGAGCCAAACCAUGCUCAAAGAAUUUGAACAAAAGAAUAUUUGAAAAAAAAAUGAAAGGGGGAAAUUGUGGGAAGUAACACAAUGUCUUUUCUAUCAAAGGCAAUCUUGGUUACUCCAUUUUGCUCAGGUUUCAGCCAAAAUGCCUUCCUGCAACCCCCCUCCUCUUUCCCUCUUCUCACAGUAACAAUUUGUUUCAAAUUAGCCAACUGAGAAGAAAUAAUGCUUGCCCUGACCUGACCAAUGGGAAGGGGACAGGUACAUCACCUGCAUUAGGGACAAAUUGGGUCUUUGCUUCUUUGCAUGCUUUUUGAGUACCCACACCCUUCUGCAGAAGUAAAGAGCCUUGUUGAGACCUUCCCUUGUUCAUUUUUCGACACUGAUGAUCUGAGCCAUGUCCCCAACAAUGAUAGGCCAAUGGUAAUCAGAAGGCAGCUUGAUGCAUCUAAUUACCUUAAUGGCUUUAGAUUUGAUAUAAAACCACCUAAACAAAAGCCCUGAUUCUAGAUAUCCUCACCUCUGAAAGGUGCUUAUAUGAGGUUCACCACUGUUUAUAUGAUUAAAAUUAUAGAAAUAUCCUCAGUUAACUCUGACAUACCAUUAAUUAGAAGAUGCAUCUCCAUUUUAGAAAUGUUACAAGGUGGACAAAAUGGAGUACCCUAGAAUUGAUGAAAUAGGUUACACCUAGUCCUGCCAGCUUGUGAAAUGUUUGGUCAUAUUAAAGACAUUUUGCCUGAUUCUGCUCUAAAGUGCUAAAUGUAGAUUAAACUCUCUAGCCACAUUUUUAUUUGCUUUAUAUCUCUGUUCUUUGUUGGUAGAUAUCCCAUGAUUGUGCUGCAAAUAGUGCCUAAUAGCAUUACUCUGUCUGUUUUAUAUCUGAAAAAGCUCAGACUCAGGUAAAACAUUCUUGUUCUAGGUUAUAGGUUUAAAAGCUAUUUUUUUCCCUGGCAUUGUACCUUCUGCUCUUUACUCUUCCAUAUUGCUCUGUAGACUAGCAGGCAAGGAAGGAAGUUACAUAAAGCUUAGAGUUCCAACCAGUUUUAAGGCAGAUGUAAUUGCUAUGUCAUUGGCAUAUUUUGUUUCCAAAUAAAGUGUGCAAGGUAACGCACAUUUCUGUGGAUUCCUUGACUAAAAUUAAUUUAGGUGUAUAGCCACUAUCCCAGAGGAUUGCAGGGAAAUUAAUCUUGGGCAUAAUUGGGGCUCUUUCCCCCAUAGGGCUACAUAAGAAUAUGGACCACUUACAUGAUAUCUAUUGAAGGGUGGGGUCCCUUGUAUUUAGUUCAUCAUAGAUGUUCUUUCAGUAGAAACUGACCUGAUCCCUAAGGCAAGUGACUGACUUCCCCAUGCUUAGCAGGACAUAUUGGAACUCUAAUUUGCUUCUCACCCAUUGCCACAGUGCUCGUCCUGAGGCAGUAGGAAAUAGUUUCUGACACUUUACAUGAUGGCUCAAUUAAUUUAGAAGGCAAGAGAAUAUGUUCAGGUAAAUUUGCUUUGGCCUUGCAAACCUUUUUUCCAGAAGUAUCUGGCUAAUAUUGUGAAACAGUACGUGGGGUGAAAUAGUUUUGAGAUACAGUGCAGAGAAAUCAUAAAAUAGCAUCUCUCUAAUAUUUCCUUAAGAUAGCUUUCUUCAGAUAUUUGAAAGAUUGCCAGGCAGAAGAGGGAUUCAUUUUAAUUCUCUAAGGAGUAAUAUAAAAUGAAUGGCUAGAUUUUCUUUAAAGACCAAUCUCAGUUUAUGUAACAAGGACAUUUAUGAUUUAAGAAUUUAAAAUUCUUAGCGAUGGGGUGAUCUGACACAGUAAUGAGUACUAUCUUUGGAUGUAAUCAGAAGACUUCUUAAGAUCAAUUCUAUAAAGAGUUUAAGUAUCAGAUUUCUUCACUCAACAGAUACCUACUGGGUGUCACUAUCUACUAUCACAGUAUUAGGUAUGGUAAUUAGGGCACUAAAAAAGCUUUGGUAAGAUGCAAGUUUCAUAGGUCUCUUUGCUGGGUUACCAUUCUCACUUGUAAGUACUCUUUGUUUUGUUUUUUAAUGAGUAGCUGUUGGACUAAUCCCUUUAAAGUCUAGCAAGUAGGGUACCCUUGGAGAACUGUAAGAACUAUUGAUUUGUAUUGGCUUCCUUCUCAGAUGAUAAGAAUAUCUAAUUCAUCUUUAACUCAUCACUGAAUCUAUUGUUUGUUUUGUUAUUUGUUAUCACUCCCCACCCUCAACUUAGUCAGGUUUUUCUUCCCCCAUCUUUUCUUUUUAAUGGAAAAUGAUCCUCUCUUACAAGUCACCUAUCCAACAGAACACAAUUUGUUUCUCUUUGGCAAUGAACUGACCAAUCACUUCACAGCAAUUUUAAUAUCAUUGGUAAUAUUCUAUUGGAAGCAGUAGCUCUUUUAUGAGCCAUGUUAUCACUUGGCUUUAAAACAUGCUUUGGGGUGUUCCUGGUAGCUUUGCAGGUUAAGGAUCUAUGUUAUCACUUGCUUUGGCUCAGGUGGCUGCUGUG
rnacentral:lncRNA from 1 species